rnacentral:tRNA from 1 species
GGCCAUAUAACAUAACCGGCUAAUGUAUAGGAUUGCAAAUUCUGUGAUGAUGGUUCAAGUCCAUCUAUGGCC